rnacentral:rRNA from 1 species
CCUACGGGGUGGCUUGCAGUGGGGAAUAUUGGACUAUGGGCUGAAAGUCCUGAUCCAGCCAUGCCGCGUGUGUGAAUGAUAGGUCGUCGGAUUGUAAAGUCACUUUAAGUUGGGAGUGAUAGGGCAUUAAUCCUAAUACGUUAGUGUUUGUUGACGUUACCGAUCAGAAUAAKCACCGGCUAACUCUUGUGUCCAGCAGCUCGCGGUUAAUACAGAGGGUGCAAGCGUUAAUCGGAAUUACUGGGCGUAAAGCGCGCGUAGUGUGGUUUGUUAAGUUGGAUGUGAAAGCCCCGGGCUCAACCUGGGAACGUUGCUUGCCGAGAAACUGGGCAUAGCCUAAGAAAGUAUCCGGGUUAGGAGUGGGUUGGGUUGGGGAUAUUGGUGCCCUUGGUGGGUAGGCCGGGUGGGAAAAUGGCGGUUAGUAUUAUUAGGGAAGGGAAACACCAGUGGGCGAAGGCGACCAUCCUGGACUGAUACUGACUAUCUGAGGUGCGAAAGCGUUGGGGAGCAAACAGUGAUUAGAUACCCGUGUGUAGGU